CCUACGGGUGGCAGCAGUGGGGAAUAUUGGACAAUGGGCGAAAGCCUGAUCCAGCCAUGCCGCGUGUGUGAAGAAGGCCUUCGGGUUGUAAAGCACUUUCAGUGGGGAAGAAAGCCUUGGGGCUAAUACCCUCGAGGAAGGACAUCACCCACAGAAGAAGCACCGGCUAACUCCGUGCCAGCAGCCGCGGUAAUACGGAGGGUGCGAGCGUUAAUCGGAAUUACUGGGCGUAAAGCGCGCGUAGGCGGUCUGAUAAGCCGGUUGUGAAAGCCCCGGGCUCAACCUGGGAACGGCAUCCGGAACUGUCAGGCUAGAGUGCAGGAGAGGAAGGUAGAAUUCCCGGUGUAGCGGUGAAAUGCGUAGAGAUCGGGAGGAAUAUCAGUGGCGAAGGCGGCCUUCUGGACUGACACUGACGCUGAGGUGCGAAAGCGUGGGUAGCAAACAGGAUUAGAUACCCUAGUAGU
rnacentral:rRNA from 1 species